rnacentral:tRNA from 1 species
GCACCUGUAGCUUAACUGGAUAGAGCAGUUGACUACGGAUCAACAGGUUAGGGGUUCGACUCCCUUCAGGUGCA